rnacentral:rRNA from 1 species
AAGAAGACCUUUUGUCUCCAGGCUGACAUCCAGAAGAGGAUGUAUGAGGCACAUGUCAAUGAGAAGCUUGCACGAUGUCGCCAAAUUGCAAUGAUGAUGAAGCACCUCAACAUGCCGGUUCAGAGUGGCUCUGAGAAGAGCAUCACCCAAGAGGAGCGUUGGAUAUCUACCCAUAGCACCUGGACUGAUGAUGAAGCCCCUCCCCAGCCAUCCUCCUCGUUUGCAGCAGCUGACAAUGCCAUGGAAGAAUCUGAUCACGACAAUGAUGACGACUCUGAUGAUGAGGAUCCAGAUGCGACCGAGGAGUCAGAGGAGGACGCCUGA